rnacentral:rRNA from 1 species
UAUGAAGGGGGCUAGCGUUGCUCGGAAUCACUGGGCGUAAAGGGUGCGUAGGCGGGUCUUUAAGUCAGAGGUGAAAUCCUGGAGCUCAACUCCAGAACUGCCUUUGAUACUGAGGAUCUUGAGUUCGGGAGAGGUGAGUGGAACUGCGAGUGUAGAGGUGAAAUUCGUAGAUAUUCGCAAGAACACCAGUGGCGAAGGCGGCUCACUGGCCCGAUACUGACGCUGAGGCACGAAAGCGUGGGGAGCAAACAGG